rnacentral:rRNA from 1 species
CAAACGGGUGAGGAACACGUACACUAACCUUCCUUACAAGGCGGGGAAUAGCCCAGAGUAAAUUUGGAUUAAUACCCAUAAUAUAUUUGAUAAGGCAUCUUAUUAAUAUUAAAGCUUCGGCACUUGAUGAUGGGUGUGCGGCUGAUUAGAUAGUUGGCGGGGUAACGGCCCACCAAGUCUACGAUCAGUAGCUGAUGUGAGAGCAUGAUCAGCCACACGGGCACUGAGACACGGGCCCGACUCCUACGGGAGGCAGCAGUAAGGAAUAUUGGACAAUGGACGAAAGUCUGAUCCAGCCAUGCCGCGUGAAGGAUUAAGGUCCUCUGGAUUGUAAACUUCUUUUAUAUGGGACGAAAAAAGGGCAUUCUUGUUCACUUGACGGUACCAUAUGAAUAAGCACCGGCUAACUCCGUG